rnacentral:rRNA from 1 species
AUGCCUACGGGGGGCAGCAGUGGGGGAUAUUGCACAAUGGGGGAAACCCUGAUGCAGCGACGCCGCGUGGGCGAAGAAGUAUUUCGGUAUGUAAAGCCCUAUCAGCAGGGAAGAAGAAAUGACGGUACCUGAGUAAGAAGCACCGGCUAAAUACGUGCCAGCAGCCGCGGUAAUACGUAUGGUGCAAGCGUUAUCCGGAUUUACUGGGUGUAAAGGGAGCGUAGGCGGCUGUGUAAGCCAGAAGUGAAAGCCCGGGGCUCAACUCCGGGACUGCUUUUGGAACUACAUGGCUUGAUUGCAGGAGG